rnacentral:rRNA from 2 species
UACGGAGGGUGCAAGCGUUAUCCGGAUUUACUGGGUUUAAAGGGUGCGUAGGUGGGCAGGUAAGUCAGUGGUGAAAUCUCCGAGCUUAACUCGGAAACUGCCAUUGAUACUAUCUGUCUUGAAUUAUCUGGAGGUGAGCGGAAUAUGUCAUGUAGCGGUGAAAUGCUUAGAUAUGACAUAGAACACCAAUUGCGAAGGCAGCUCACUACGGAUAUAUUGACACUGAGGCACGAAAGCGUGGGGAUCAAACAGG